UCUUUUCGAUCACUAUUCUUA
rnacentral:piRNA from 1 species